CCCUUAGAUGUUCUGGGCCGCACGCGCGCUACACUGAUGCAUUCAACGAGUCUAAAACCUGCUCUGAUAGGGGUGGGUAAUCUUUUGAAUGUGCAUCGUGAUUGGGAUAGAUGAUUGCAAUUUUUCAUCUUCAACGAGGAAUGCCUAGUAAACGCAAGUCAUCAGCUUGCAUUGAUUACGUCCCUGCCCUUUGUACACACCGCCCGUCGCUCCUACCGAUUGAAUGAUCCGAUGAAUAUCAUGGAUUGAGGAUGCAAGUAGGUUCACCUAUCUUCAUCUUCGAGAAGUGAAGUAAAUCUUAUCAUUGAGAGGAAGGAGAAGUCGUAACA
rnacentral:rRNA from 1 species